GACGAACGCUGGCGGCGUGCCUAAUACAUGCAAGUUGACCGCUGUUGCGAACGGGUGAGUAAAGCGUAGGUAACUGCCUAAUAGCGGGGGGUCACUAUUGGAAACGAUAGCUAAUACCGCACACUGUGAGAUGGACCUGCGUUGUAUUAGAGAGUUGUGGAGGUAAAGGUUAACCAAGGCGACGAUACAUAGCCGACCUGAGAGGGUGAUCGACCAAACUGGGAAAGAGGCACGGCCCACAGUCCUACGGGACGCAGCAGUAGGAAAACGACGGCGAUGGACGGAAGUCUGGCCGAGCAACGCCGGGGGAGUGAAGAAGGUUUUCGGAUCGUAAAGCUAUGUUGUUAGUGAAGCGGUAAAUAACCAGAAAGGCGCGGCUAACUACGUGCCAGCAGCCGCGGUAAUAC
rnacentral:rRNA from 1 species